CAAACCAAAUCACACUCAAAGUCUCACUACUCACUAGGUAAAGUCAAAGAACUCCAAACCCUAGAUCGUCGGUGUUCUUCUUCGAUCUUUGCCGAUCUAAUAAAUCCUACCUCUGCGAUAUUAGUUCUGAUUUCAGCCAUCAUAAUUCCUAAAUCCCUAAAUCAGGCCUUAUUCCAUGUUUGAAAUUAGCCGUGAUUCAAUUACUACCUCGAUGAUGACAUAUUUUUUUGGUGAAAUUGCUCGUUGUUUCACUUCAACCACUCCAUUGAACCCCGAAAGAAGUUUUCAUUAGUGUUCUAAAUCUAAGAUUGAAAAUUGUGGGUUUUGAAAGUGGAAAGAUGAUUCUCUUCAUUGAAGUAAAUUUGUUGAAGUCUAACUUAAAAAUUGCUACAGUGAAAAUGAAGAAUUUGAGAGAAUCAUUGAGUGCAGUUAAGAUUGAAAAAGACAACUUGAAGAACAAAUUGAAGAAUUUAAUGAGUAUAAACUACUUUGAGAUGAAUAAAUUAAGAGAUUUGAAAGCGAAAUUAUGAAGUUGAAGAUGUUGUUUAUAUUGUCAUUUGAUGUGUUUGUGGGAUGUGUCAUUGCAAUUGCAAGUAAUGCAGUUUCUUGGUUGCAAUUUUCAAGUGUAAGGAAGAUAUAUUUUUUUUGGUUGAAAUUUUCAAGUAUUUUUCUUGUAUGAAGAUUUCAUAUGUAGUUUCUUGGUUGCAAGAGUUUUCUUGGUUGCGA